GUUUGACUUCAGUGCCUGGGAAGCUGAUGGAGCAGAUCAUCUAUGCAGACAAGCAGGAACAGAAUGUUUCGUAAAAGAAAUGGUGACCGAAAUUAAAUGCUACGUAUUCAAGCAAGGAAGCUGACAGUUAUGCAAGGAAUGGCACAUGUGAACCAGAAAGAGUACAAUAGAGGGAUGCCCAAGGAUCUGUGCAGAGGAACGCCCAAGACUACGAGGCUGAAAGUGCCCAGUUCAGCAGUGAGC